CAGUCCUUGCGUUCUGCUGUGUUCUGCCAGGUAUAAUGUGAGUCUGCUGGAGUGGCUGCGGAGCCGUGGGCUGCAGGCAGGGGGAGCUGUGGCCAUGUUGGAGCCUCUCACCCAGGCCGCUCAGCUCCUGCAAGUGGGCAAGAAGACUGACGCUGAUGCGCAGGCCCUCGUUCAUACCUGCGCUGCCUUGGUGGUUUUUAAGCUGGUAUUGAUUGUGAAGAUUCUGACCUAGAGGAGAGGGUGACACUCAUUUUUAUCUGCACAGUGCAGGGUCAGCCUCCACAGCUGCUGAUGGACAUAUGGCAUGUGUUCCCCUACCUGCCGCCCCAGACCGUCCACGCUGACCAGCUGGACAUCCCAGACUCCCUCAAGAUGUGUUACUGUGACGGGCCUGAGAGGAAGCAGUAGUUAUACAGGUCUUUCACUGUGGAUUACAAGUCUUGGUACUGCUGCAUCAGGUCUUUUUCCUGCAGGAUAUACAGUAUAUCAAAGUAAUACGUGAAUAUAUAUGUGUAAUUGUCUUAUUUUGUAUUAGGCAUUACUCUUUCUUUCAGUAGCACAUGCUACUGUUCUUCUGAUUGGGCUGUUAGAAUGGUCAUAUGGAUUUUCUUAUCUGUUUCAUAGUAUUGAUUUUUGACACAAAGAUUUCCUUAUCUGUACUAUUACAGUAUUUCCUGUCUGCUGAUAGACAUUUCCUUAUUCGAGGCAUCACACCUACCUCAGUGCCUACCUAGGUGUAUUUUUCUACUGUGAAAGUUUGUACAUUGGAAAUGUGUGCUUAAUACAUUUAGAAAUUGGUAAUAUGUUCCAGAUAUCAGAAUACACUAUUAUAAUUGUACAAUAUAAACAUAAUAUUGUAAAUAUGUUUUUCACUCUGAUCCAUAUGGACACUAUGAAAAUGAGAGAUUUUCUCUAACAUUUUAUUGGAACAGAAACACAGCAAUGCUGCAAUCCCCCCCCCACCCCAAUAAGAACACCCAGACUUCAGUAUAAAAAAAAUCCUCUCUUGCGAGUAUUAUGUAACAGUUACACAUCAUCAUCAGCAAUACAUAUAAAUAUAUUCACAAACAUCUGCAUUUUUACAAAUAAUACUAAGAUGUCAAAAUAAAUGAAGAAGACAACAAUUGCCAAAUAUAACAUCAAAUAAACACAUGCUGGCACAAUAAAUGUUUUUCCCAUUAUGCACUGAUUCCUAUGUACAAGGCUGGCAUCACUGUGUGGUCGUGUUCGAAGAUGGACUACAUUUCAGUCGGCGACUGCAGACUGACUGAUCUACAAAUCAUCAUCCUAAUCAACUACUCAUUAUUAUUUGUAAAUCAGUCAAUUGAUGCUCUUGAACAUGGCCAAUGUGUCUGCCUGUGUAGGUGUGUCAGUGACAGUACAUGCGUGUCUGUCUGGUUAUCAUUGCACUUCUUCUAUAGCUCUGUACCAUGCCUCCGUGCCUGUCUGUCCUACAUACAUGCAAACCUGAAAGGGUGUGAUUUCCUUUUUACCUCAACGCACAGACACUAAACGUCUGAAAAAGAAUGGUCUCAGUGACCGAAUAUACUUAGUAUCAUUGUCAACAGCAAUACAUAUGAUAUUGUGCCAUUCAUUGCUACAGCUGCAAUACCUGUACGUUAAUACAGGCACAGUACAGCAGUCUGUGAGGCUGUGUAUUCGUGGCCUAUAGACUCCUAUCCCAUUAGAUGCAAAGCUAUCUCAGUCAUCUAUCUAUGGCAAGUGUCACUGGAGAGGGCAGGACUGGUACUAUAGCCUUGUGGACAGGCUGUGUGUGCACAAAACCUGGACCAGACAGCCUGGUAAGAGGCCAUUUUAGGUAAAUGUGGUAAUGUCUAGGUUAUGUGUGCCUGCCCCAGCAGAGGGGAAUAAAGAGACCGUGGGGGUCACAUGUGGCCUGACAUCUUCAUUUGAUAAGAGGUUGCUAUGGCAACACAAGCGGUAAGAAACGUCUCUGUCUUUUGUCUCUAAACGCUCUCCUCCACACUGACACAUAUCGAUCAGAGAGGUUGAAGGAGAGAGAGGAGGUGGCUGUUUUCCAAGGCAAACAAAUGGAGCUCUGUUCAUACACUGUACAGCCCACGGAAUGUUUCUGAUCAAACGAGCAAUAAACCAAAGUAAAAGACACAAAUAGGGAACACUGGUGUCUACACGAGGUCAACGUUGUAGUAUUAUAAACUGGGUGGUUCGAGCCCUGAAUGCUGAUUGGCUGAAAGCCGUGGUAUAUGAGACCGUAUACCAU